ACACUAUCCCUGAAACAGAGGAUUGAUUGGCAGGUAAGAAAAAACACAGGUGGGACAGAUUAUACAUUAACAAAGAGGAAAAUUAAAUCUCAGAAUUGAAUUUUCAUCUGGCUUCAGGUGGGUGACGUGAGCUACAGCCCUGUGUGGGGAGGAGUGGAGUCCCUGAGGGACCAGGCCAGCUGUGGGACCACCACUCAACACUGCCCUUGCCACUCCUAGCUCAGGCUCAGCAGACAUGAGCCCCCAGCAGGCAUGAGCCCCAUCCAGGUCAUUCGCUGCGUGCUCAGGUGGCAGAAGAUGCCAGCCAGAUCCCGAUGGCAGCUGCUUUCUAUCCUCAGUAUUCACGCUGCAGCGCACCCACAAUGAAGUCUUGGAGGCCUCAGAGGGUCAUUCGUUUGUCAUGUAACCUGCAGCACAAGCAAAGCAGUAGCAUCCCGCAAGAGGAGCCCUUGCUGUUUUCUACCCGACUCCACAGGUAACACAAAGCAUUGGUUCUGAGGGGCAGAGGAUAUUUUAGCCAAUAGAUAUUGUUAACUAGCCCUGAACUUGUCUGGGACACAGCCACACUCCAGAGUCACACUGACUUUUGCUACAAAGAUACGAUCGUAGUACCAGAGCCACAAAAUCCAGAUGCAGUUGAAACAGGCAGAGGUUAGCUGCUGAAAUGCGGAGGUGGAUGCUUAGGGCAUAG
rnacentral:lncRNA from 1 species